rnacentral:lncRNA from 1 species
AUGCUGCUUCCCCAUCCCUCCCCCUCUCCUUGCAGUGGUAUGUGGAUGAAAAACAGCCAGCGCCUUUUUUUUUUUUUUUUUCCUCCAAAAACUUUGAAAACAAAAGACAAAAUCGCAGCCCGGCCCGAGCCUUUCCCUCACUUGAAUCAACACCAAGACAACAUUGAGACAUGGAAGGAUUCUGCUUCCCAAACACAGCUGUGUUUGCGAGUCCUGCGAUGCCAGGGGAUGGGAAGGGCUGGAAAAAGCGGCCUGACCCCUCCUGUCCAGGGGAGAAGCUCCCGCGGGCUCCUUCCAAGGAAUCGGAGCGGUGACAGCAGUCACGGAGAGGGGCUGCUCGGCCUGCUGUCCCCUCACGGCCAAACGACGACCGCCCAGAGGACGAAGGGCGAGAGCAAAGACCUCGUCCUUUCAGAUCAGGAGCGCCAGCACGGCCUGAACAAAAGCUUCUUGACCUACAAACUCCCGGCUGCCAACAUCGUUAACAUCGCGGCUCAACCUCCUUUUUCUCCUCCUCCUCAGCGACCAAACUCGCUGCUGGCAGCGGGAAGCAGACUGGCCUGUGCCUGGCGUGUGCUUUUCGGGAUGAAAGGGGAGCCCAUUAGGAUGAGCUGUCUCGACAAGCAGGACCAGCUCCUGCACUUUGGACUCUUGCACGAGGCUGGAUCCCAUCCCGGCCGGGCCCUAUGAACGCGAUCACGGCAGAAAUUGCAGCGCUGGCUGGUUUGGGGUGGGAUGCAGACGAAAGCGCUGUGGGUGGGAGCAGCGUUCCCCGAAACGGAUUAUCUCCAGCUGCUUCCGGCCUCUUCUCCCUGGCGCUGGAUAAUUUUGCUGCGUUGAGUGUGUAAUUAUCGCCUCUGCCAUCUCCCAGCGCAGGAGGAUGUUUGUUUUGCAAGUCCCACCAGCUGGGUCCUUGGGGCAGAGGGGAGGGCGAAGGGGACGCGGUGGGGAGAGCAGUGACGGCAGUGCUCAGAAAAGGGGGAAAUGUCUCCCCAGGGAGAGAGCUAGCAGGGAGGAAAGCUCUCCAAAUGGGAGAACUUGUCCCUGGCUGGCUGGGAGAGGACAAGGACACCACGGCGGGCUGGGAGGAUGAUAAAGCUUCUGGGGGGAAACACGGGGCAAGAGCUGAAAUCCCUGGGAAGGAGCUGAGACUCCACAUUCAGGAGAGAAAACGGGGGAGGAAAAGGUAAAAUUGUGGGAAAGGAGCUGAGAAAGAAGAGCUGGACCUGAAAUGAAGACGAGCUGAAUAAUAAAGCUUUUGGAGGGAAACA